rnacentral:rRNA from 1 species
CCUACGGGAGGCAGCAGUCGAGAAUCAUUCACAAUGGGGGAAACCCUGAUGGUGCGACGCCGCGUGGGGGAAUGAAGGUCUUCGGAUUGUAAAUCCCUGUCAUGUGGGAGCAAAUUAAAAAGAUAGUACCACAAGAGGAAGAGACGGCUAACUCUGUGCCAGCAGCCGCGGUAAUACAGAGGUCUCAAGCGUUGUUCGGAAUCACUGGGCGGAAAGCGUGCGUAGGCUGUUUCGUAAGUCGUGUGUGAAAGGCGCGGGCUCAACCCGCGGACGGCACGUGAUACUGCGAGACUAGAGUAAUGGAGGGGGAACCGGAAUUCUCGGUGUAGCAGUGAAAUGCGUAGAUAUCGAGAGGAACACUCGUUGCGAAGGCGGGUUCCUGGACAUUAACUGACGCUGAGGCACGAAGGCCAGGGGAGCGAAAGGGAUUAGAUACCCCUGUAGUC